UACGUAGGGAGCAAGCGUUGUCCGGAAUCAUUGGGCGUAAAGCGCGCGUAGGCGGCCUCGUAAGUCCGCUGUGAAAGUCCAGGGCUCAACCCUGGGAUGCCGGUGGAUACUGUCGGGCUCGAGUCCGGAAGAGGCGAGUGGAAUUCCUGGUGUAGCGGUGAAAUGCGCAGAUAUCAGGAGGAACACCAAUGGCGAAGGCAGCUCGCUGGGACGUGACUGACGCUGAGACGCGAAAGCGUGGGGAGCAAACAGG
rnacentral:rRNA from 1 species